GCCUGGGUGGCUCAGUCAGUUAAGCAUCCGACUUUGGCUCAGGUCAUGAUCUCAUGUCUCGUGGGUUCAAGCCCCACAUCAGGCU
rnacentral:tRNA from 1 species